UCAUUCCAACAAACAAUAUAUUUCCGUUUUUCUCUAUCCCUUUCAACUAAAUAAUUUUUGGCAUAAUUAAAAGUUUUUGUGAUCUGGAACAAGAGAUCAUCGCGGAUUUGCGGAUUUCAAGUUAAGCGUUUUGUACGAGGUCAUUAUGAAGGCGAUUUGUCUUAGGGUUCGGAGAAGUGGACGAAGGUUUUGCGACUUGAUUUUCAUCUUGCUAGGAAACCCUUUAGUGGCUUCUCUAAUGGUGGUUCUUAAUUCAAGAUGGAGACGCUGAUCCCUGCUGCACUAACAAGUUCCAAGUUCACAAAAAUAAAAAAAAAAAAAUCAAAAGAGAAAGAAGAUUGAGCACUCACUGAUUAACAUAAAUAUGUCUGUCUUUUUAUAUAUCUGAUAACUCCUUUGUGGUUUUCUUGACAUUUGGUCGGUGUCAGUGAUUUGUAGUGUCUGGGUUUGAAGAAUCUUCGGAAUACAUAUUUUCUGAAUUCUGUAUUGCAAUUUUUGACAUACACUGAGUGCUUAGAUGCUUACUUUCUAGAUGUUGGCAAUGUGAAACGUUGUAUGUUGCAUUUGGAAGCUGGUUUGAUUAAUUGCUUGGCUUGAGGCAUGCUAGGACGGUCCUUCAAGCUCCUGGCAGAAUAGCAGCACCAAGUCUCAAACUUUGGAGCUUUCCUCUGAUGUUAAAGAGCAGGAAACUUCAGCAGUUGAUUACACAGCAGGGGACAUGAUCUUUUUCUACUGUGAUUCCCCAUACCUCCAAGGUUCUAUCUGAAGUAGAAGAGAGUGAUAGGACAGGAAAUUACAUGAAAAGAGGAUGAUGAAGAAGAUGAGCAUGAUGAAGAACAUUUUCACUAACCUGGGGUAGAAGAACUAAAUUAUAAAACAUCAUAGAGUUUUACCUCUAUCGACUAAGCUGUGGAAAGUCUGUAAACAUGAACAUGUUUGGUUUGACCAAUUCGGUGACAUUUGUCCAUGGCUUGCAAGGCCAUUCGAGAGUUUUGUAUCAGGAAC